UUGCACGCUGGCGGCCUGCCUUACCCAUGCAAGUCGCACGGUAACAGGUCUUCGGAUGCUGCCGAGUGGCGAACGGGUGAGUAAUACAUCGGAACGUGCCCGAUCGUGGGGGAUAACGAGGCGAAAGCUUUGCUAAUACCGCAUACGAUCUACGGAUGAAAGCGGGGGAUCUUCGGACCUCGCGCGGACGGAGCGGCCGAUGGCAGAUUAGGUAGUUGGUGGGAUAAAAGCUUACCAAGCCGACGAUCUGUAGCUGGUCUGAGAGGAUGAUCAGCCACACUGGGACUGGGACCCGGCCCAGACUCCUACGGGAGGCAGCAGUGGGGAAUUUUGGACAAUGGGCGAAAGCCUGAUCCAGCCAUGCCGCGUGCAGGAUGAAGGCCUUCGGGUUGUAAACUGCUUUUGUACGGAACGAAAAGCCUCUUUCUAAUAAAGAGGGGUCAUGACGGUACCGUAAGAAUAAGCACCGGCUAACUACGUG
rnacentral:rRNA from 1 species